AACGAACGCUGGCGGCAUGCCUAACACAUGCAAGUCGAACGAGACCUUCGGGUCUAGUGGCGCACGGGUGCGUAACGCGUGGGAACCUGCCCUUAGGUUCGGAAUAACUCCCCGAAAGGGGUGCUAAUACCGGAUAAUGUCUUCGGACCAAAGAUUUAUCGCCUUUGGAUGGGCCCGCGUUGGAUUAGCUAGUUGGUAGGGUAAAAGCCUACCAAGGCGACGAUCCAUAGCUGGUCUGAGAGGAUGAUCAGCCACACUGGGACUGAGACACGGCCCAGACUCCUACGGGAGGCAGCAGUGGGGAAUAUUGGACAAUGGGCGGAAGCCUGAUGCAGCAACGCCGCGUGCGGGAUGACGGCCUUCGGGUUGUAAACCGCUUUCGCCUGUGACGAAGCGUGAGUGACGGUAAUGGGUAAAGAAGCACCGGCUAACUACGUG
rnacentral:rRNA from 1 species